UUGUUGGUAAGGUAAAAGCUUACCAAGGCUUCGAUCAGUAGCUGGUCUGAGAGGACGACCAGCCACACUGGGACUGAGACACGGCCCAGACUCCUACGGGAGGCAGCAGUGGGGAAUUUUGGACAAUGGGGGCAACCCUGAUCCAGCCAUGCCGCGUGAGUGAAGAAGGCCUUCGGGUUGUAAAGCUCUUUCAGCCGGAACGAAACGGUUACGGAUAAUACCCGUGACUACUGACGGUACCGGAAGAAGAAGCACCGGCUAACUACGUGCCAGCAGCCGCGGUAAUACGUAGGGUGCAAGCGUUAAUCGGAAUUACUGGGCGUAAAGCGUGCGCAGGUGGUUUUGUAAGUCAGAUGUGAAAGCCCCGGGCUCAACCUGGGAACUGCGUUUGAAACUACAAGACUAGAGUGUGGCAGAGGGGGGUGGAAUUCCGCGUGUAGCAGUGAAAUGCGUAGAGAUGUGGAGGAACACCGAUGGCGAAGGCAGCCCCCUGGGUUAACACUGACACUCAGGCACGAAAGCAUGGGGAGCAAACAGGAUUAGAUACCCUGGUAGUCCAUGCCCUAAACGAUGUCAACUAGUUGUCGGGCCUUUACGGGCUUGGUAACGUAGCUAACGCGUGAAGUUGACCGCCUGGGGAGUACGAUCGCAAGAUUAAAACUCAAAUGAAUUGACGGGGACCCGCACAAGCGGUGGAUUAUGUGGAUUAAUUCGAUGCAACGCGAAAAACCUUACCUACCCUUGACAUGUAUCGAAGCCCGCAGAAAAGCGGGGGUGCCCGAAAGGGAACGAUAACACAGGUGCUGCAUGGCUGUCGUCAGCUCGCGUCGUGAGAUGUUGGGUUAAGUCCCGCAACGAGCGCAACCCUUGUCAUUAAUUGCCAUCAUUUAGUUGGGCACUUUAAUGAGACUGCCGG
rnacentral:rRNA from 1 species